CUCCUUUGACGUUAGCGGCGGACGGGUGAGUAACACGUGGGUAACCUACCUAUAAGACUGGGAUAACUUCGGGAAACCGGAGCUAAUACCGGAUAAUAUUUCGAACCGCAUGGUUCGAUAGUGAAAGAUGGUUUUGCUAUCACUUAUAGAUGGACCCGCGCCGUAUUAGCUAGUUGGUAAGGUAACGGCUUACCAAGGCGACGAUACGUAGCCGACCUGAGAGGGUGAUCGGCCACACUGGAACUGAGACACGGUCCAGACUCCUACGGGAGGCAGCAGUU
rnacentral:rRNA from 1 species